ncrna:unclassified sequences Proteo-phage-1 RNA
CUGCAGCCAGGGCAGCCCUCGGGAAGGCCUGGACACUGAUACGCCGGCAAGUGCAGUGCUACGAGAAAACACCGGCAGCC